CUAAUCUCAACCUAAUGUAUAUUCUCCGCCGCCUGCCGCCUCCUCACCGAGCUUCUUCGUCUUCAACAUUCAAGCCGGCUCUGCUCACGACCCACCACUGCUACCUCCUCCAUCAAUCUCCUGUGCCUCAUUCAUCAAUCCUGUGCCUCCUCCACUUUCCUUUACCAAGAACAAAAAAAAAUCAGAUUCAAAACAGAGAGAGAGAGAGAGAGAGAGAGAGAGAGAGAGAGAGAGAGAGAGAGAGAGAGAGAGAGAGAGACGUGGGGGNNNNNNNNNNNNNNNNNNNNNNNNNNNNNNNNNNNNAGAGAGAGAGAGAGAGACGUGACUGGUGGUGGUGUUGACGAACGUGCGGUGGUGGUGGUGGUGAAGGGCGAAACCGAAUAGAAAGGAGCAUGGUGGUGAGAAGCAUGACGGUGGUAAUCCUCUUCGUUCAGAUCCAUUUGCUUGAAAGAAGAAAAGUAAAUGAAAGAUGAGCAGAGGAGAAAGAGAGAUGGGAAGAGGAUAAGAGAGAUGAGAUUAGAUGAGGAGAUCGAAGAGGUACAGAAGAAGAAAAUAAGAAGUAUAGAAUCGUGUGGAGGAAGAAGAAAGGAAGAAAGAGAUAAAACAAACAUAAAAUAUUAAUAGUGAAUUAAUCUGAGCCGUAAGAUUAAUAUUACCAACGGCAGAGAUUCGAAAAAUGGUGAUCCACGCCUCACUUUUUGGUCCAAUCAGAAUUAAGCCGUUAAUUCUUUUUCUUUGGUCAUCAAAUAAGCUUCUAAUUCACUUAAAUAUGAAUGGGUUUAUAUGGGGU
rnacentral:lncRNA from 1 species